GGGGAAUUUUCCGCAAUGGGCGAAAGCCUGACGGAGCAAUACCGCGUGAGGGAAGACUGCCUAUGGGUUGUAAACCUCUUUUUUCAGGGAGGAACAAAAUGACGUGUACCUGAAGAAUAAGCAUCGGCUGACUCCGUGCCAGCAGCCGCGGUAAGACGGAGGAUGCAAGUGUUAUCCGGAAUCACUGGGCGUAAAGCGUCUGUAGGUGGUUUAAUAAGUCAACUGUUAAAUCUUGAGGCUCAACUUCAAAAUCGCAGUCGAAACUAUUAGACUAGAGUAUAGUAGAGGUAAAGGGAAUUUCCAGUGGAGCGGUGAAAUGCGUAGAUAUUGGAAAGAACACCGAUGGCGAAAGCACUUUACUGGGCUAUUACUAACACUCAGAGACGAAAGCUAGGGUAGCAAAUGGGAUUAGAUACCCCAGUAGUC
rnacentral:rRNA from 1 species